rnacentral:rRNA from 1 species
UCGAGCGGCGGACGGGUGAGUAAUACUUAGGAAUCUACCUAGUAGUGGGGGAUAGCACGGGGAAACUCGUAUUAAUACCGCAUACGACCUACGGGAGAAAGGGGGCAGUUUACUGCUCUCGCUAUUAGAUGAGCCUAAGUCGGAUUAGCUAGAUGGUGGGGUAAAGGCCUACCAUGGCGACGAUCUGUAGCUGGUCUGAGAGGAUGAUCAGCCACACCGGGACUGAGACACGGCCCGGACUCCUACGGGAGGCAGCAGUGGGGAAUAUUGGACAAUGGGGGAAACCCUGAUCCAGCCAUGCCGCGUGUGUGAAGAAGGCCUUUUGGUUGUAAAGCACUUUAAGCAGUGAAGAAGACUCUUCGGUUAAUACCCGGAGACGAUGACAUUAGCUGCAGAAUAAGCACCGGCUAACUCUGUGCCAGCAGCCGCGGUAAUACAGAGGGUGCAAGCGUUAAUCGGAAUUACUGGGCGUAAAGGGAGCGUAGGUGGCUCGAUAAGUCAGAUGUGAAAUCCCCGGGCUCAACCUGGGAACUGCAUCUGAUACUGUUGAGCUAGAGUAUGUGAGAGGAAGGUAGAAUUCCAGGUGUAGCGGUGAAAUGCGUAGAGAUCUGGAGGAAUACCGAUGGCGAAGGCAGCCUUCUGGCAUAAUACUGACACUGAGGCUCGAAAGCGUGGGUAGCAAACAGGAUUAGAUACCCUGGUAGUCCACGCCGUAAACGAUGUCUACUAGUCGUUGGGUCCCUUGAGGACUUAGUGACGCAGCUAACGCAAUAAGUAGACCGCCUGGGGAGUACGGCCGCAAGGUUAAAACUCAAAUGAAUUGACGGGGGCCCGCACAAGCGGUGGAGCAUGUGGUUUAAUUCGAUGCAACGCGAAGAACCUUACCUGGUCUUGACAUAUCUAGAAUCCUGCAGAGAUGCGGGAGUGCCUUCGGGAAUUAGAAUACAGGUGCUGCA